GAUGAACGCUGGCGGCGUGCUUAACACAUGCAAGUCGAACGGAAAGGCCCUGCUUUUGUGGGGUGCUCGAGUGGCGAACGGGUGAGUAACACGUGAGUAACCUGCCCUUGACUUUGGGAUAACUUCAGGAAACUGGGGCUAAUACCGGAUAGGAGCUCCUGCUGCAUGGUGGGGGUUGGAAAGUUUCGGCGGUUGGGGAUGGACUCGCGGCUUAUCAGCUUGUUGGUGGGGUAGUGGCUUACCAAGGCUUUGACGGGUAGCCGGCCUGAGAGGGUGACCGGCCACAUUGGGACUGAGAUACGGCCCAGACUCCUACGGGAGGCAGCAGUGGGGAAUAUUGCACAAUGGGCGGAAGCCUGAUGCAGCAACGCCGCGUGCGGGAUGACGGCCUUCGGGUUGUAAACCGCUUUCGCCUGUGACGAAGCGUGAGUGACGGUAAUGGGUAAAGAAGCACCGGCUAACUACGAG
rnacentral:rRNA from 1 species